AGAUGAGGCGUGAUGACGAGGAUCCUCGGAUCCGAAGUGAGUGAUACCCAGCUUCCAGGAAAAGCCUCUAAGCUUCAGUCAUAGAGUGACCGUACCGCAAACCGACACAGGUGGGCUGGUAGAGAAUACCAAGGCGCUUGAGAGAACUCAGGAGAAGGAACUCGGCAAAUUGAUACCGUAACUUCGGGAGAAGGUAUGCCCCUGGUACGUGAAGGCCCUCGCGGCCGGAGCGGAACGGGGUCGCAGAGAAUCGGUGGCUGCGACUGUUUAUUAAAAACACAGCACUCUGCAAACACGAAAGUGGACGUAUAGGGUGUGACGCCUGCCCGGUGCCGGAAGGUUAAGUGAUGGGGUGCAAGCUCUUGAUCGAAGCCCCGGUAAACGGCGGCCGUAACCAUAACGGUCCUAAGGUAGCGAAAUUCCUUGUCGGGUAAGUUCCGACCUGCACGAAUGGCGUAACGAUGGCCACACUGUCUCCUCCUGAGACUCAGCGAAGUUGAAAUGUUUGUGAAGAUGCAAUCUCCCCGCGGCUAGACGGAAAGACCCCAUGAACCCUUACUGUAGCUUUGCAUUGGACUUUGACGGGACUUGUGUAGGAUAGGUGGGAGGCUAUGAAACCGGGACGCCAGUUCCGGUGGAGCCAUCCUUGAAAUACCACCCUGGUGUCGUCGAGGUUCUAACCCAGGCCUGUGAAUCCAGGUCGGGGACCGUGCAUGGUGGGCAGUUUGACUGGGGCGGUCUCCUCCCAAAAGGUAACGGAGGAGUACGAAGGUCACCUAGGUACGGUCGGACAUCGUACUGAUAGUGCAAUGGCAAAAGGUGGCUUGACUGCGAGACCCACAAGUCGAGCAGGUGCGAAAGCAGGUCAUAGUGAUCCGGUGGUUCUGUAUGGAAGGGCCAUCGCUCAACGGAUAAAAGGUACUCUGGGGAUAACAGGCUGAUUCCGCCCAAGAGUUCACAUCGACGGCGGAGUUUGGCACCUCGAUGUCGGCUCAUCACAUCCUGGGGCUGUAGCCGGUCCCAAGGGUAUGGCUGUUCGCCAUUUAAAGUGGUACGUGAGCUGGGUUUAAAACGUCGUGAGACAGUUUGGUCCCUAUCUGCCGUGGGCGCUGGAAGUUUGAGAGGGCCUGCUCCUAGUACGAGAGGACCGGAGUGGACGCACCCCUGGUGUACCGGUUGUGACGCCAGUCGCAUCGCCGGGUAGCUAUGUGCGGAAGAGAUAACCGCUGAAAGCAUCUAAGCGGGAAACUCGCCUCAAGAUGAGACUUCCCCGGGGCCUCGAGCCCCCUGAAGGGUCGUUGAAGACCACAACGUUGAUAGGCCGGGUGUGUAAGCGUGGCAACACGUUCAGCUAACCGGUACUAAUUGCCCGUGUGGCUUGAUCCU
rnacentral:rRNA from 1 species